rnacentral:rRNA from 1 species
AAUCAACGCUGGCGGCGUGCCUAACACAUGCAAGUCGAACGCGAAAGUCCCGCAAGGGAUGAGUAGAGUGGCAAACGGGUGAGUAACGCGUGGGUGACCUGCCUUCGAGUGGGGGAUAACGUUCCGAAAGGGACGCUAAUACCGCAUGACAUCCUGCCUUUGAAGAGGCGGAGAUCAAAGCCGGGGAUCGCAAGACCUGGCGCUUGACGAGGGGCCCGCGUCUGAUUAGCUAGNGGUGGGGUAAUGGCUCACCAAGGCAACGAUCAGUAUCCGGCCUGAGAGGGCGGACGGACACACUGGGACUGAGACACGGCCCAGACUCCUACGGGAGGCAGCAGUGGGGAAUUGUUCGCAAUGGGCGCAAGCCUGACGACGCAACGCCGCGUGGAGGAUGAAGACC